rnacentral:lncRNA from 1 species
AUGCCCUCCUACUGGCCCCGGACGACUCCCUUCCCCUUAGGUACCCCACGUUCCUCCAACCAGAAAAACAAUUCCACAGAAAUGCAUCGAGAGCCUACUAAGCGCAAGCUCCCACUGUGCGCGGCAUGGUCUGCACUGGGCUCGCGGCCCGGGCUCGCCGUCCUUUUCCCGGCCAGCCCAUCCCAGCCCGAGGCCGGCGCUGCCUCAGCCGGGGUGCGGGGCGACAGCCGGGGCGAAAUGAGCCGGGCGCGGGCACUGGGGCACCGAGAGGCGGCCACGGACAACGGCGCGGGAGCCGGGGUCCAGGCGGCGGGCCGGGCGCGACCGCAGGGACACUCACCGUUCAGGGCGCGCGGGGCGGCCUCAUCCAGGGCACCUGCGGCCAGGCAGGACGGGCCCGGACGGCGCAGUCACCGACAGGGCGAGUCCGCCUGCCCUCCGGGAUUCUCCUACCCCGGCCUGCCAAAGUGCUGGGAUUACAGGCGUGAACCACCGUGCCCGGCCCCACUAGCCUUUUAGAAACCUUGUCGUCGUUCACAAACUUACCGGUCACUUCGUUAAGUGUUAGACAUAACCUUGAUGAUGUUCCAGCGCCUCAACUUAAUAAACCAAAAAGCUUUCCUGUG